AGGAGCAGCAGCUCCGCCAGCGGGGGACGAGCUCCAGAGACGGCGAGAGGAGUGGCACCGGGACAUUGAGGGGAGCAAGAGGAGGGUGGGCCCCCUGGUGGCUGUGGAGCGCUACUGCUCGUUGGUGGAGAGCGUGCUCCAGGUUCAGCAGCAGGUGGAUGUGGACGUGACACUCCUGGGAACAGAGGCCACAUCUGUAUUGAGUCAGUAGUGUCUCCUUCUUAACUGAUGACUUAAGGUUUCUCACGUAAAACAACAGCAUUGAACUGCUCUGUUUUCGACACAGCAGCACUUUUUACUCUGUCUUACUGGGACUCCAGAGAGAGAGAGAGAGAGAGAGAGAGAGAGAGAGAGACCUCAGCCGUUUGUCAGAAUGAUGUUUUGUCAGAAUCCUUUCAGAAAAGUCUCUGUGAACCCCCCUCCCCAUGUGAUCUUGAGCGUACGUACACUGGCUAUUCUCCUGGUGCUCCACCCCCAAAACCUGGCCGGGGGGGGUGGGGGAUGUUUGUGGUGGUGACAUUCACCUGGAAGAGCUCUCUGCAGACAGGCCGCCCCCUGGGGAUGUGUACGGAGGAGCCAGACUAAUGCACUGCUGCCGUCGCCCCCCUCUGAUGAACUUCUCCUGGGGUUCACACCUCUAACAUUCUGGUGACAUUCGUCAGCCACACUCCCUCGCCCCCGGCCCUUGGGCGUCUGCAGAUGGCUUCUGUGUGUGUGUGUGUGUGUGUGUGUGUGUGUUUGUGAGCGAAGCCCUCUGGGAACGCCACUGUUCCUUUCGUAACGAGCGCUCGCUCCUUUUGUCUCGGUCUUGUGUUUUUAGAAUAAAGCUUUGGCGCUGCUGUGUACUUUGUA